rnacentral:sRNA from 1 species
GGAUGAGGUGUUAUUCUAAAGAUGAUGUAUUAGGUCCACAUAUAAUACCAAUCGGAGGACAUUUUCUAGAUUAUUUUGGCACUAACUUUUGGGGUACCACCCGUUUUAUGUGUACUUUGAGACAAGGUCCUAACUAUAUACACUAUCAAAGCUUUACGGCAUUCAAGCUUUUCAGUAUGGAGGAUCAUGGAGGCCUAUGGGAUUGGAGAGCUAGAGAAGAUGGGAUCUAUUUAAAGAAAGAAGGUAACAAGUUUAUUAAAAAUCCGGUUAAUAUGCAUAAAGUGUAUGAUUGGAUAAAUUAAAAUUCUUAACAAGCUAUCUAAGAAUAAUAAUUAAAAAAAA